rnacentral:rRNA from 1 species
AUUGAACGCUGGCGGCAGGCCUAACACAUGCAAGUCGAACGGUAGCACAGAGAGCUUGCUCUCGGGUGACGAGUGGCGGACGGGUGAGUAACGUCUGGGAAACUGCCCGAUGGAGGGGGAUAACUACUGGAAACGGUAGCUAAUACCGCAUAACGUCGCAAGACCAAAGUGGGGGACCUUCGGGCCUCACACCAUCGGAUGUGCCCAGAUGGGAUUAGCUAGUAGGUGGGGUAAUGGCUCACCUAGGCGACGAUCCCUAGCGGGUCUGAGAGGAUGACCAGCCACACGGGAACUGAGACACGGUCCAGGCUCCUACGGGAGGCAGCAGUGGGGAAUAUUGCACAAUGGGCGCAAGCCUGAUGCAGCCAUGCCGCGUGUAUGAAGAAGGCCUUCGGGUUGUAAAGUACUUUCAGCGGGGAGGAAGGCGGUGAAGUUAAUAACUUCACCGAAUGACGUUACCCGCAGAAGAAGCACCGGCUAACUCCGUGCCAGCAGCCGCCGUAA